CUCACUGGUCUAGAGGUUAAGCGUUCGCACGCAAAGCCGAAGGUCCCAGGUUCAAAUCCUGAGUGCAGCA
rnacentral:tRNA from 1 species